rnacentral:lncRNA from 1 species
UCUCUUUUCUCUCAUCAAUUUCUCUCCAGUUUUAUAACACGUUAUCAGCACGAAUUCGCUCUCAAAAUUUACAAGCUGAAUUCUCUGAAACCCAGAUAUCUUAUUUCUCUCCAGCCUCAGCUCCCCUGCUUCUUCCUCUGUUUCUUUCACUUGCUGCUACAUCAAUAGUCUCUGACUCAUGCAAAUACCAGAGAUUCUCUACAAUCUCUUCACCUACAGACCAACUCUGAUUUUGCUCAUGCUCAUCUCUCUCACUUGGUCGGGUACGGACAGAUUUUUAUUUAUAAUUCUCCUACCUUUACGGUUCCGUUCCGUCCGCAAGCGAUCCAAUUCAGCGCAUCAAACCCUGUAAUCCAAGAUGAGCAAUUUGACUACGACAGCAAGAUGGCUCCAGCCCACGUGGCAUGAUCCCGGUGGCUUCUUGCCUCACAGUCAAGGGAGCCGAGGACGUCCUCAACAAGCAGUACGCGUUCGAGCUCAUGCGCUCCGACCAGUGCUCCAGCCACGGCCAACUAUGAGACGGAUUGGAAGAGGACCAAUUUACCAAACAAGGACAAAAAUGUGGGUAAGUUAUUAAAAUAUUAAAUGGGGCCUGCGUGUUUGGAGAGCACAACGGCCAUUUCCUAAUGCCUGAUCCAUCUACUCAUAUCAUAUGCCAUCAAUAAUUCUUUUACUUUUCUUUGUCGGUUCUUUUUACUAUUUUGGAUGGAAAUAUUGUUUUGGAGUUCUGUGAAAUAAACCAAAAUAAUGGAGGUACAGUGGUAGCAGUGGAAAAGGAGGGGAUAAAGGCAAUUGAUUUGAAAGCUCGGAGCAUGCGUGAUAUUCCACUAAUCACUUUUCCUACUUUUCUUAUUUUAUAUUAAUAUAAGGAUAUAUCAGUAUAAUAAUAUUAUCUAUUAUAUUAUUUGAUUGUGUUGUUGAUAUGAACUCACAAAUAAUUAUCUUUACUUUAUUCAUUCCGCAUUUAUUUUAUUUAUGGUAUGGUGUAGGUUUAUUACCCAUACGAGCACAUUUACUUUAUCAUAAAUUUACUUUAAAGGGUGGUGCAGGUUUAUCGUCCACGCCUUUACUGUUAUUUAAAUGUAUGGAGCAGAAUUAGUGCCCAUUCGAGCAUAUUUACUUUAUCAUAAAUUUACUUUAAAGGGUGGUGCGGGUUUAUCGUCCACGCCUUUACUGAUAUUUAAAUGUAUGGAGCAGAAUUAGUGCACAUACAAGCACGUUUACUUUACCGCACAUUUACAGUAUGGUGCGGGAUUAACGUCCAUACAGCAAUUUAAUUUAUGAAUUUACUUUACCGCACAUUUAAAGUAUGGUGCGGGAUUAACGUCCAUACAAGUAAUUUAUUUACCAGUAAAUUUAUUUUAUGGAUUAAUUGUGCUGUAUGAUGAGUUUUUUUACAGUAUGCAGAUCAGGACCAGAAGUUCCUUGAUCCUCAUCAUACAAUUACAUCAGGACUUGAAGAUCCUUGAUGAUGAUAUUGAUAUGAGAGCUGGCAGUCUCUCCGGUACUAUAUUUGUAAACAUGUGAUCGGACUUAAGGGUCCUUGAUCCCUGACAUGUGAAUAAGGGCCUGGGUUUCCU